UACGUAGGGGGCUAGCGUUGUCCGGAAUCAUUGGGCGUAAAGCGCGCGUAGGCGGCCCGGUAAGUCCGUUGUGAAAGUCAAAGGCUCAACCUUUGAAAGCCGAUGGAUACUGCCGGGCUGGAGUCCGGAAGAGGCGAGUGGAAUUCCUGGUGUAGCGGUGGAAUGCGCAGAUAUCAGGAGGAACACCGGUGGCGAAGGCGGGUCUCUGGGACGGUACUGACGCUGAGACGCGAAAGCGUGGGGAGCGAACAGG
rnacentral:rRNA from 1 species